rnacentral:rRNA from 1 species
GAUCAUGGCUCAGGACGAACGCUGGCGGCGUGCCUAAUACAUGCAAGUAGAACGCUGAAGGAAGGAGCUUGCUCUUUCCGGAUGAGUUGCGAACGGGUGAGUAACGCGUAGGUAACCUGCCUGGUAGCGGGGGAUAACUAUUGGAAACGAUAGCUAAUACCGCAUAACAGUAGAUAUCGCAUGAUAUGUGCUUAAAAGGUGCAAUUGCACCACUACCAGAUGG